rnacentral:rRNA from 1 species
GACGAACGCUGGCGGCGUGCCUAAUACAUGCAAGUAGAACGCUGAAGGAGGAGCUUGCUUCUCCGGAUGAGUUGCGAACGGGUGAGUAACGCGUAGGUAACCUGCCUGGUAGCGGGGGAUAACUAUUGGAAACGAUAGCUAAUACCGCAUAAGAGUAGAUGUUGCAUGACAUUUGCUUAAAAGGUGCAAUUGCAUCACUACCAGAUGGACCUGCGUUGUACUAGCUAGUUGGUGGGGUAACGGCUCACCAAGGCGACGAUACAUAGCCGACCUGAGAGGGUGAUCGGCCACACUGGGACUGAGACACGGCCCAGACUCCUACGGGAGGCAGCAGUAGGGAAUCUUCGGCAAUGGACGGAAGUCUGACCGAGCAACGCCGCGUGAGUGAAGAAGGUUUUCGGAUCGUAAAGCUCUGUUGUAAGAGAAGAACGAGUGUGAGAGUGGAAAGUUCACACUGUGACGGUAUCUUACCAGAAAGGGACGGCUAACUACGUGCCAGCAGCCGCGGUAAUACGUAGGUCCCGAGCGUUGUCCGGAUUUAUUGGGCGUAAAGCGAGCGCAGGCGGUUAGAUAAGUCUGAAGUUAAAGGCUGUGGCUUAACCAUAGUACGCUUUGGAAACUGUUUAACUUGAGUGCAAGAGGGGAGAGUGGAAUUCCAUGUGUAGCGGUGAAAUGCGUAGAUAUAUGGAGGAACACCGGUGGCGAAAGCGGCUCUCUGGCUUGUAACUGACGCUGAGGCUCGAAAGCGUGGGGGAGCAAACAGG